rnacentral:rRNA from 1 species
UUCUUCGGCAAUGAAAAAAAGUGGAUUAGUGGCGGACGGGUGAGUAACGCGUGAGUAACCUGCCUUAGACGACACGGGGAUACGCCUUUGGAAACGAAGAAUAAUACCCUAUGACAUGAUAGCCUCGCAUGAGAUUAUCAUCAAAGAUUUAUCGCUCUAAGAUGGACUUGCGUCUGAUUAGUUAGUUGGUGGGGUGACGGCCCACCAAGACAGCGAUCAGUAGCCGGCUUGAGAGAGUGUACGGCACAUUGGGACUGAGACACGGCCCAGACUCCUACGGGAGGCAGCAGUGGGGAAUUUUGCACAAUGGGGGAAACCCUGAUGCAGCGACGCCGCGUGAUUUAGAAGGCCUUCGGGUUGUAAAAAUCUUUUCUAUGGGAAGAACAUGACAGUACCAUAGGAAUAAGGACCGGCUAAUUACGUGCCAGCAGCCGCGGUAAUACGUAAGGUCCGAGCGUUGUCCGGAAUCAUUGGGCGUAAAGGGUACGUAGGCGGGUAAGCAAGUUAGAAGUGAAAUCCUAUAGCUCAACUAUAGUAAGCUUUUAAAACUGCUCAUCUUGAGGUAUGGAAGGGAAAGUGGAAUUCCUAGUGUAGCGGUGAAAUGCGCAGAUAUUAGGAGGAAUACCGGUGGCGAAGGCGACUUUCUGGCCAUAACCUGACGCUGAGGUACGAAAGCGUGGGUAGCAAACAGGAUUAGAUACCUGGUAGUCCACGCCGUAAACGAUGAGUGUUAGGUGUCUGGAGUAAAUCUGGGUGCCGCAGCUAACGCAUUAAACACUCCGCCUGGGGAGUACGCGCGCAAGCGUG